CCUACGGGAGGCAGCAGUGGGGAAUAUUGCACAAUGGGGGAAACCCUGAUGCAGCGACGCCGCGUGAGUGAAGCAGUAAUUCGUUAUGUAAAGCUCUAUCAGCAGGGAAGAAAAUGACGGUACCUGAGUAAGAAGCCCCGGCUAACUACGUGCCAGCAGCCGCGGUAAUACGUAGGGGGAAAGCGUUAUCCGGAUUUACUGGGUGUAAAGGGAGCGUAGACGGCAGUGCAAGUCUGGAGUGAAAGGCGGGGGCUCAACCCCCGGACUGCUCUGGAAACUGUACGGCUUGAGUGCAGGAGAGGUAAGGGGAAUUCCUAGUGUAGCGGGGAAAUGCGUAGAUAUUAGGAGGAACACCAGUGGCGAAGGCGGCUUACUGGACUGUAACUGACGUUGAGGCUCGAAAGCGUGGGGAGCAAACAGGAUUAGAUACCCUGGUAGUC
rnacentral:rRNA from 1 species